ACUGAAAAGACAGCUCAGCAGCCUCAUCUACAAGGUAGUCUUCCUGCAGGAGCUUAGGGGCACAUGCCUUUCCGUGCUGGGAGAAGAGCGUUCUGUGGCGUUGGCACCUCGGGGAGAAGCUUCAGGUUUCACGAUGAACUCCUGAGAGCUUAGCAUCCGGGGUGUGCAUGACUUGGGGUGCCAGGCAGCAGGUCCCGCUCGCUCCCCGGAGGGGACGGCCUUCCGCUUUACUCCCCAGGCAGCCGAGGACCCAACAGUGCUCCUUGCUUGGAGGCCAGCGAUGAGCUCCUAAUUUCCCUGUGGGCCGCCCAGACCUCUACAAGACAGGCUUCCAGAGACGCUGUGCGUUCUCCGGAGCGACCAGGGCAGGAAGGGCGGGCGCUCGGUGCUGCCCCUCAAUCGCCGCGGCCCCAGGAGCAGCAGCGACAGGAACAUGUAUGGAUUUAUCAACACCUGUCUGCAGUCUCUUGUGAUAGAGAAAUUUGGCGAAGAAACAUGGAAAAAAUUGAAGUAAGUAAAUGAAAGGGAAGAUGAAGUAUCCCUGGAGCAACUGGUAAACCUCCAGUGUUUUUAAGAACUUCUGCAGAGGUACAAGAUGCCUUCAUGACCUACACGGUGUAUGAUGACAUCAUCACCAUGAAGCUCAUCCAGGAGGUGUGCAGCAUUCU